AGAGUCUGAUCAUGGCUCAGGAUGAACGCUAGCUACAGGCUUAACACAUGCAAGUCGAGGGGCAGCGGGAUUGAAGCUUGCUUCAAUUGCCGGCGACCGGCGCACGGGUGAGUAACGCGUAUCCAACCUUCCGUACACUCAGGGAUAGCCUUUCGAAAGAAAGAUUAAUACCUGAUGGUAUGAUGAAAUUGCAUGAUAGCAUCAUUAAAGAUUUAUCGGUGUACGAUGGGGAUGCGUUCCAUUAGGUAGUAGGCGGGGUAACGGCCACCUAGCCUACGAUGGAUAGGGGUUCUGGAGAGGAAGGUCCCCCACAUUGGAACUGAGACACGGUCCAAACUCCGUACGGGAGGCA
rnacentral:rRNA from 1 species